CAGUAGCCGCGGGAAUACGAAGGGGGCUAGCGUUGUUCGGAUUUACUGGGCGUAAAGCGCACGUAGGCGGAUCGAUCAGUCAGGGGUGAAAUCCUGGAGCUCAACUCCAGAACUGCCUUUGAUACUGUCGAUCUCGAGUCCGGAAGAGGUGAGUGGAACUCCUAGUGUAGAGGUGGAAUUCGUAGAUAUUAGGAAGAACACCAGUGGCGAAGGCGGCUCACUGGUCCGGUACUGACGCUGAGGUGCGAAAGCGUGGGGAGCAAACAGGAUUAGAUACCCGUGUAGUCCCUGUCUCUUAUAC
rnacentral:rRNA from 1 species